AUUGAACGCUGGCGGCAGGCUUAACACAUGCAAGUCGAACGAGUGGCGGACGGGUGAGUAAUGUAUGGGGACUGCCCGAUAGAGGGGGAUAACUACUGGAAACGGUGGCUAAUACCGCAUACUAUCGGAUAACCCAUAUGGGAUUCGCUAGUAGGUGGGGGAAAGGCUCACCUAGGCGACGAUCGCGAGCUGGUCUGAGAGGAUGAUCGGCCACACGGGGACUGAGACACGGCCCAGACUCCUACGGAGGUAGCAGUGGGGAAUAUUGCACAAUGGGCGCAAGCCUGAUGCAGCCAUGCCGCGUGUAUGAAGAAGGCCUUAGGGUUGUAAAGUACUUUCAGCGGGGAGGCGUUACCCGCAGAAGAAGCACCGGCUAACUCCGUGCCAGCAGCCGCGGUAAUUC
rnacentral:rRNA from 1 species